UUGACGAAAAAUGUCACUAAAAUAAUGACAUUUGGCAUAAAAUAUAGCUAAACAACGAUUUUUGGCAUAAAAUGUCGUUAAAAUAACGACAUUUGAUACAAAUGUCGAAAAUAUUAUGACAUUUAUUUCAAAUGUCAUAUUAUUAGUCGCUAAUUACUGACUUUUACACCUAAUGUUGGAAAUCUAAAUCUUUUUAAAUUAUGUCAUCACUCUUUAUAUUUAAUUCUAGGGAAAGAAUUAGUGGAUGCAUAAAGUAGUAAUUAUAUAUAUAUAUAACGAAUGAGUUUGGAACUAAAAAUAUGGCUAAAUUACAACAACAACAACAACACAUCCAGUGUAGUCCCACACGUGACUAAAUUAAUUGUGUAAAUUAGUUAAAAUUAAAUUAUACAAUUAUAACAAUAGAGCUAUUGAAUAUUUCUACCAAUUAAAGAAAACUAUCGCACAUAUGACUUUUUAAAAAGUAUUUAACUAGUAGUAUUAGAAUAGGUGUCAUUGCGGAUAAUAUUUAAAGAAUAUUAAUUAUUUUCAGAAUAUGACUUGGCUUUUUUAUCCAUUAUUGAUCUUUUCAUUAUUGUUAUGGCCAGAUUCUAUUAUGAAUUUUUACAACAUUCUUCAUAGGGCACUCUUAUUUUUUUCUUGUUCGAACUCUUGUAAUGGAGGAAAGAACCGAGAAAAAGGCAUCGACGACAAUCGAUUUUACUACGGGACAAUUCGUGUCAUAUUUAUUUUAUUUAUAUGCAUUUGAACUUUAUUUAAGCUCUUAUUAAAGUAAUUGAUUUUGCAAGGAAUACUAUUUGCUACUACUAAUAAAAAAAAGCUUAUGAAAUUAUAGUAGUUAUAGAAAUAGGAGCAGUAUUUUUUUUUUUAUUUUGGUUCUAUGUACUUUAAUACUCUUUUUCAUUUGGACCCAGACUUUCCCCCUAAAAAAUUAAAAAAUCCCCAAAGACUAAAUCUUCCCCCCAAUAAUUUUAAACUUAAUCAAAUACUACUCCCACGAAUAAAAGCUGGAACCCUAACCUUUUCCCUUCCCCCAAUUCCCUUUACGUCAUAGGCUGCACCGGCGGCCUAAUUUCUCCAUUUCUCUUCUCUCUCUCUCUGCUUGAAUUUUAUUUGUCAUUUACUUUUCUUGAUUUAUUUUUUCUUUUGUAGGUUUUACGAAGUGGAGUCCCGAAAGAGAUUAAUUGUAUAAUAUGAUUGUUGCAUUGGAUCAUAUUUUUGUGGAUGUGAAGAGAUCUCUUUCUCAUCUUCAUCAGAAGUCGAUAUGCAAAAAUUAGAGUCAAGAAGAGAAGUCUUUUGAAGAGGAUGCAUGUUGUCAUAGAGAUUCAAGAUGCUGCUUUGUAUGAAGGCUCAACAAGUGACAAUCAAUGAAUUGGUGUUUUUGUGGUCACUAGUCAAUAUUAGAUUUUAUUUAUAGCAUUCUCAGCUUAGGAGAAAAUUUUGUAUUCUUCGGGAACCAUAUAUUUAAUGGUGUGCACGAGAUUUUUCAAAAGUUUGUCGAAGUGACUCUUUUGUUUAAUUCAAAGUUCUAUUGUAGUGUAUAACUUGUGUACUGGAAUUAUAUGAUUCAUCGUGGCAUUAAAUUAGAUUUUUUCAGUAUAUAAAAAAGAAAAAUGAUGCUAUUGACUAGAGAUGAUUUUCCGA